rnacentral:rRNA from 1 species
GAUGAACGCUGGCGGCGUGCCUAAUACAUGCAAGUCGAGCGAACGGACGAGAAGCUUGCUUCUCUGAUGUUAGCGGCGGACGGGUGAGUAACACGUGGAUAACCUACCUAUAAGACUGGGAUAACUUCGGGAAACCGGAGCUAAUACCGGAUAAUAUUUUGAACCGCAUGGUUCAAAAGUAAAAGACGGUCUUGCUGUCACUUAUAGAUGGAUCCGCGCUGCAUUAGCUAGUUGGUAAGGUAACGGCUUACCAAGGCAACGAUGCAUAGCCGACCUGAGAGGGUGAUCGGCCACACUGGAACUGAGACACGGUCCAGACUCCUACGGGAGGCAGCAGUAGGGAAUCUUCCGCAAUGGGCGAAAGCCUGACGGAGCAACGCCGCGUGAGUGAUGAAGGUCUUCGGAUCGUAAAACUCUGUUAUUAGGGAAGAAUAUAUGUGUAAGUAACUGUGCACAUCUUGACGGUACCUAAUCAGAAAGCCACGGCUAACUACGUGCCAGCAGCCGCGGUAAUACGUAGGUGGCAAGCGUUAUCCGGAAUUAUUGGGCGUAAAGCGCGCGUAGGCGGUUUUUUAAGUCUGAUGUGAAAGCCCACGGCUCAACCGUGGAGGGUCAUUGGAAACUGGAAAACUUGAGUGCAGAAGAGGAAAGUGGAAUUCCAUGUGUAGCGGUGAAAUGCGCAGAGAUAUGGAGGAACACCAGUGGCGAAGGCGACUUUCUGGUCUGUAACUGACGCUGAUGUGCGAAAGCGUGGGGAUCAAACAGGAUUAGAUACCCUGGUAGUCCACGCCGUAAACGAUGAGUGCUAAGUGUUAGGGGGUUUCCGCCCCUUAGUGCUGCAGCUAACGCAUUAAGCACUCCGCCUGGGGAGUACGACCGCAAGGUUGAAACUCAAAGGAAUUGACGGGGACCCGCACAAGCGGUGGAGCAUGUGGUUUAAUUCGAAGCAACGCGAAGAACCUUACCAAAUCUUGACAUCCUUUGACAACUCUAGAGAUAGAGCCUUCCCCUUCGGGGGACAAAGUGACAGGUGGUGCAUGGUUGUCGUCAGCUCGUGUCGUGAGAUGUUGGGUUAAGUCCCGCAACGAGCGCAACCCUUAAGCUUAGUUGCCAUCAUUAAGUUGGGCACUCUAAGUUGACUGCCGGUGACAAACCGGAGGAAGGUGGGGAUGACGUCAAAUCAUCAUGCCCCUUAUGAUUUGGGCUACACACGUGCUACAAUGGACAAUACAAAGGGCAGCGAAACCGCGAGGUCAAGCAAAUCCCAUAAAGUUGUUCUCAGUUCGGAUUGUAGUCUGCAACUCGACUAUAUGAAGCUGGAAUCGCUAGUAAUCGUAGAUCAGCAUGCUACGGUGAAUACGUUCCCGGGUCU